rnacentral:rRNA from 1 species
UACAGAGGGUGCAAGCGUUAAUCGGAAUUACUGGGCGUAAAGCGUGCGUAGACGGUUAUUUAAGUCAGGUGUGAAAGCCCCGGGCUCAACCUGGGAAUUGCAUUUGAGACUGAAUAGCUAGGGUGCGGAAGAGGGAAGCGGAAUUUCCGGUGUAGCGGUGAAAUGCGUAGAUAUACGGAAGGAACACCAGUGGCGAAAGCGGCUUCCUGGUCCAGCACCGACGUUCAGGCACGAAAGCGUGGGGGAGCAAACAGG